AGGACGAACGCUGGCGGCGUGCUUAACACAUGCAAGUCGAGCGGAAAGGCCCUUCGGGGUACUCGAGCGGCGAACGGGUGAGUAACACGUGAGCAACCUGCCCUUAGCUCCGGGAUAGCUCCGGGAAACCGGAAUUAAUACCGGAUACGACCACGGCCGACAUCUGCUGUGGUGGAAAGGAUUCCGGCUAAGGAUGGGCUCGCGGCCUAUCAGCUAGUUGGUGGGGUAAUGGCCCACCAAGGCGACGACGGGUAGCCGGCCUGAGAGGGCGACCGGCCACACUGGGACUGAGACACGGCCCAGACUCCUACGGGAGGCAGCAGUGGGAAUAUUGCGCAAUGGGCGAAAGCCUGACGCAGCGACGCCGCGUGGGGGAUGAAGGCCUUCGGGUUGUAAACCCCUUUCAGCAGGGACGAAGCGAAAGUGACGGUACCUGCAGAAGAAGCGCCGGCUAACUACGCGCCAGCAGCCGC
rnacentral:rRNA from 1 species